rnacentral:rRNA from 1 species
UACGAAGGGUGCAAACGUUGCUCGGAAUUAUUGGGCGUAAAGCGCACGUAGGCGGCUAUCUAAGUCGGAUGUGAAAUCCCUCGGCUUAACCAAGGAAGUGCACCCGAAACUGGAUAGCUUGAGUACAGAAGAGGAUCGCGGAAUUCCCGGUGUAGCGGUGAAAUGCGUAGAGAUCGGGAAGAACACCGGUGGCGAAAGCGCUCUGCUGGGCCGACACUGACACUGAGAGACGAAAGCUAGGGGAGCGAAUGGG